ACUUAAAUUCAAUACAAUAUAUAAAAAAAAGAAGCGUGCAAAUUGAAAAUGGCUAAUGGCUAACACAGGGGUAAAGGUUGUCCCAUAAUAAAAAGGGACAGAUAACCAGGAGGGAGGUUUUAGUCCGUAGGUCACUGAGACACUUUCUCAGUGGAGUCGGGCAUGCCCAUUGGCCCGGGCCCUUGUGUAUCCAUGAGGAUAUCCUCCC
rfam:Bombyx mori DNA, contig: Bm_scaf62_contig29389, strain: p50T/Dazao, build 2, whole genome shotgun sequence.